rnacentral:rRNA from 1 species
UGUGUAGGCGGCUCUUUAAGUUUGGUGUGAAAUCUCCCGGCUCAACUGGGAGGGUGCGCCGAAUACUGAAGGGCUAGAGUGCGGGAGAGGAGAGUGGAAUUCCUGGUGUAGCGGUGAAAUGCGUAGAUAUCAGGAGGAACACCGGUGGUGUAGACGGCUCUCUGGACCGUAACUGACGCUGAAACACGAAAGCGUGGGUAGCAAACAGGAUUAGAUACCCUGGUAGUCCACGCCCUAAACGAUGCAUAUUUGGUGUGGGUCAUUCAGUUGAUCCGUGCCGGAGCUAACGCGUUAAAUAUGCCGCCUGGGGAGUACAGUCGCAAGGCUGAA